rnacentral:lncRNA from 1 species
ACAUUGAGGCUCGCUGGCAAGUGCCAGAAGUGUUUUAAAUUGAGUGGCUGUACAUAUUUAUUCUACGCAGUAUUUCUGCAUGUAAACGUUUUUUUUUGUAUUGCACUGUUUUAAGCCUCGUGUGUUGAAGAUGAAGCGGAGCGAAUGCUACCUUGACUGCGGUGGUAACAGUGGUGUCGUGGAUCUCCCGAAGACAACGAUAUUUCGUUUGAUGGGAACACCUUCAUGUGACCCGCUAGUGGCAGGUGCACAAAGUGCGUCUGUUGCAUCGGUGUCAACUGCUGCGCCGCUACCACAGCGGCCCGACUGUGACGCAACGCCCCUUCACUUCCUUGACACAAAUGGCCGUGCAGGAGAAUUUGGCGAUGAUGGCCAGAUGGAAGAUGAACUGUUUUCCCAGUUUUCUGAUACAGUGUCUGGUGAUGCUGCCAGUGGAACAGAUCAGUUUUUCUGGUCUGGUGACGAGAGCGGUACCGAAACAGCUUCUGCAGCAGUUGAUGGUGACCAUGAAGUCCACGCACACAACAGUCUCCCGCCGCAAGACCUGCUUGCUCUAACAGUCAAUUUCACGAUAGAGUUUGGGCUUCCCUGGAAUGUCGUGGAAGCUCUCCAGAAGCUGAUCACGUACGUUCUUGACAAGAAAGACGUUCCUGCAACCAAAUAUUUUUUCAAGAUGUAUGUUGGUGCAGGUGUCGAAGCCGCGAGAUUUCACUUCUACUGCACAGAAUGCUUGAUGCGGCUGGCUGAAACUUCAGGAAAACUCCAAGAAAGAAACAGCGUUGAGGGCUGCUGUUCAAUUUGUCAUAAAAAUUACAGUGGCGGCAAAAUGCUCCUCGAUGGCCACUUUGAAGUUGCCGCUCGAACAGCAAAUCUCUCUUCUUGCUGAUACAUCUGUGGCAGCUGCCCUUUCCAGUCAACUUGAAGACAUUGCUGAGAACAGAGGUAACAGCCAAAUGUCUGAUUUGACUGACAGUCAGAUGUAUAAAGACAUUAGGGUGAAGAUUUCUCGUCUUGACGUUACGCUUCUGCUCAAUGUAGAUGGGGCACCGAUUUUCAAGUCAUCCAAGUAUUCGAUUUGGCCUAUUCAAGUGAGCAUAAAUGAGUUGCCACCACAUCUGCGUAGCAAGAAUGUUCUGAUACCAGCUUGGGGGUGUAUGGACAGUUCCAUGCUGACAUGACUGUUCGUAAAGUCAUUCGUGGAGCAGAUGAAUCAGCUUGAAACGGCCAGUCACAUGGAAAGCUGGGUCACAAAGCAUUCACUUCAAGGUAUACUAUGCGAGUUGUACUGCUGAUGCACUGGCAAGGGAGCACUCCUCCAGAACAUUGUCCAUUUCAAUGGCUACCAUGGUUGAGGCUGGUGUCUUCACCCAGGGGAGACUGUAGAUGGUUGACAGGUAUGCCUUCACAACCUAUGCGGGAACGCCCAGAUUCACUGGGUGAUCCCGCCAUCUCUAACCUGACCCAGCAUCCUGGUAGAUGCGGCGGACUUGCAGGACGCUGGAAGAGCAGCUCUUGCUGAUGACCUGGGACAGCACGGUUGCCAAAGCCACUGAAGUCCUGGACUGAGAACCCCACCUCGAUGACCGAAUUACCUUACUCAUUCAGUAAAGUUU